CUGCAAGAUUCAUCCCGCUUGCCGCAAAGCCUCGACUCCCGGGAAAGAGGAGCUUUGGCAGCUAGGUGCUGGUCUAUGAACAUCGAAAUAGCCUGGAAUCAAACUACUUUCCAGACUUUUCUGAAAAGGAACGAGGUUUGCCAGGAGCUAACUGAAUCCGGAGCUCGCUUGCCGCGUCAGCCAUACUGCACGAUCCAUCGCGGUUGUGGCAAUGCCUUGACUCCUGAGAAAAAGGGCCUUGGAAGCUAGGUGCUGGUCUAGGAGCAUCGAAAUACCAUGGAAUCAAAAUUAUUUCCCAGUCUUUGCAAAAAAAGAGCAGUGCCUUCUGAAUACUAUUUGUGUUACAGUGAGCAAGGCUCACAAAAGUUUAGGAGAGUAGGACUGCCACGACAAAGGAGAACAAGGACUGGGUCACUAGACUGCAAUUUGGCACUGGAACAAGAUUGGAUCAUCACCAUUUCAUCAUGCAUGGCAGAAGGACUCAUGAAGCCCCAUCACUGACUAAGAGGCUAUGGCUAGCUAAUGGGUCUCUGGGGAGAGGUGCAGUUUGUUUUUUUUCUCCAGUGGUGUAGUCAUUGAUAAAUUGUCCAUGCUCCAUUGAGAAACCCUAAACUCAUGUUCCUGUAACACAACUCAAAGAAUAAGCAAAAAAGAUAAAGUAGGAGGGGCUUGUCUGGAAGAAUUUCAGCCGUGGAGAUGGGUGUGUGUGUGAGAGGAAACUACGGAUGAAAAUGGCCCAAACCCAGUGCGCAUAUGAAUAAAAUUGUCAAAUAAUCAACAACCAGUUUGAUGUUAAUGUAAAAUAAAUAGCAUCUUGGAUUUA